rnacentral:tRNA from 1 species
AGUCUUAUAGUCAAUUAUGAUUUUAAAUUGCAAAUUUAAAGGUAAAGCCAAUUUUAAGGCUU